rnacentral:tRNA from 1 species
GGGAGCAUAACUUAAUUGGUAGAGUGUAUGCUUUGCAAGCAUAAAGUUACCGGUUCAAGUCCGGUUGUUUCCA